AUUGAACGCUGGCGGCAUGCUUUACACAUGCAAGUCGAACGGUAACAGGGUGCUUGCACCGCUGACGAGUGGCGAACGGGUGAGUAAUGCGUCGGAACGCACCGAGUAAUGGGGGAUAACGCAGCGAAAGCUGUGCUAAUACCGCAUACGCUCUGAGGAGGAAAGCGGGGGACCUUCGGGCCUCGCGUUAUUCGAGCGGCCGACGUCUGAUUAGCUAGUAGGUGAGGUAAGAGCUCACCUAGGCGACGAUCAGUAGCGGGUCUGAGAGGAUGAUCCGCCACACUGGGACUGGGAAACGGCCCAGACUCCUACGGGAGGCAGCAGUGGGGAAUUUUGGACAAUGGGCGCAAGCCUGAUCCAGCCAUGCCGCGUGUCUGAAGAAGGCCUUCGGGUUGUAAAGGACUUUUGUCAGGGAGGAAAUCCUUAGCGCUAAUACCGUUGAGGGAUGACAGUACCUGAAGAAUAAGCACCGGCUAACUACGUGCCAGCCACCGCCGUAA
rnacentral:rRNA from 1 species